rnacentral:tRNA from 1 species
GCCACCAUAGCUCAGACGGUAGAGCAACUGAUUUGUAAUCAGUCGGUCGCGGGUUCGAUUCCUGCUGGUGGCUCAA